rnacentral:rRNA from 1 species
CAGUAGCCGCGGUAAUACGUAGGUGGCAAGCGUUGUCCGGAAUUAUUGGGCGUAAAGGACUCGCAGGCGGUUUCUUAAGUCUGAUGUGAAAGCCCCCGGCUCAACCGGGGAGGGUCAUUGGAAACUGGGAAACUUGAGUGCAGAAGAGGAGAGUGGAAUUCCACGUGUAGCGGUGAAAUGCGUAGAGAUGUGGAGGAACACCAGUGGCGAAGGCGACUCUCUGGUCUGUAACUGACGCUGAGGAGCGAAAGCGUGGGGAGCGAACAGGAUUAGAUACCCCAGUAGUCCCUGUCUCUUAUAC